rnacentral:ncRNA from 2 species
CUAAAUAUUGCCGAGCCAGGUGCCCUACGGGGCUUAAUAGGGAAGACCGGUGAAAUACCGGCGCGGUCCCGCCACUGUAAUGGGGAGUUAACCCAAGGUAUACCACUGAGACUACUGUGUCUUGGGAAGGGUUGGGUAAACUAUGAGCCAGAGCCAGGAGAACUGCCUGUCUGUCAAUCACCGU